CAGGGUUCUCAGCUGCUUCCUCCAACAGGGAAGCUUUUGGCUUGGGUUAUAUUGUCACUCGCAGUGUAUAAGACGAGCGAAAAGCUUCUUGGUUGGAAGAGAGAUGCCCCCUCUGCUCU
rnacentral:pre_miRNA from 14 species